rnacentral:rRNA from 1 species
AGGAUUCCCCUAGUAACUGCGAGUGAACCGGGAAAAGCUCAAAUUUUGAAUCUGGCGGUCCAAGGGCCGUCCGAGUUGUAAUCUAGAGAAGCGUCUUCCGCGCUGGACCGUGUAUAAGUUUCCUGGAAUGGAACGUCGUAGAGGGUGACAAUCCCGUCUUUGACACGGACUCCCAGUGCUAUGUGAUGCGCUCUCGACGAGUCGAGUUGUUUGGGAAUGCAGCUCAAAUAGGGUGGUAAAUUCCAUCUAAAGCUAAAUACAGGCGAGAGACCGAUAGCGAACAAGUACCGUGAGGGAAAGAUGAAAAGAACUUUGGAAAGAGAGUUAAACAGUACGUGAAAUUGCUGAAAGGGAAACGCUUGAUGUCAGUCGCAUCGUCCGGGGAUCAGCCUCGCUCUUUUGCUCGGCGUACUUCCUGGUCGAUGGGUCAGCAUCGGUUUCGACCGUCGGAAAAUGGCUCGAGGAACGUGGCACUCUUCGGGGUGUGUUAUAGCCUCGAGUCGAAUACGACGGUNGGGACCGAGGAACUCAGCACGACCUUCGGGUUCGGGGCUUCGGCUCACGUUCGCGUGCUUAGGAUGC